UACGUAGGGUGCGAGCGUUAAUCGGAAUUACUGGGCGUAAAGCGUGCGCAGGCGGUUUUGUAAGCCAGAUGUGAAAUCCCCGGGCUCAACCUGGGAAUGGCAUUUGGGACUGCAAGGCUUGAGUGCGGCAGAGGAGACUGGAAUUCCUGGUGUAGCAGUGAAAUGCGUAGAUAUCAGGAGGAGCACCGAUUGCGAAGGCAGCUCGCUGGGACGUUACUGACGCUGAGACGCGAAAGCGUGGGGAGCAAACAGG
rnacentral:rRNA from 1 species